GAUCACAGGAAGAGAACACACUCUGGAUUUUCUUCUGACGUGCAGACUGCACUGAUUGAAGUAUUGAAUCCUUUUGCAACACCACCUUCCUGUAAAUAUCCUGUUUCCAGAAAUUGACAAAAGAAAUUGCAAGAGACUUCAAAGGCAAUAACUUCAAACUGUAACUUCAUGCUUUCGUUGAGAUCAUAGAUCCUACUGCCAAGAAGUAACAGUAAGUACUUAGGUGUUAUAAUUUCUUUUUAAUGAAGAAAUUUUCUUUUUAAGUGUUCUAUGUUUACUUUAAAUGUGUUCCAGG
rnacentral:lncRNA from 1 species